rnacentral:rRNA from 1 species
AUUGAACGCUGGCGGCAGGCCUAACACAUGCGAGUCGAACGGUAACAGGAAGCAGCUUGCUGCUUCGCUGACGAGUGGCGGACGGGUGAGUAAUGUCUGGGAAACUGCCUGAUGGAGGGGGAUAACUACUGGAAACGGUAGCUAAUACCGCAUAACGUCGCAAGACCAAAGAAGGGGACCUUAGGGCCUCUUGCCAUCGGAUGUGCCCAGAUGGGAUUAGCUAGUAGGUGGGGUAACGGCUCACCUAGGCGACGAUCCCUAGCUGGUCUGAGAGGAUGACCAGCCACACUGGAACUGAGACACGGUCCAGACUCCUACGGGAGGCAGCAGUGGGGAAUAUUGCACAAUGGGCGCAAGCCUGAUGCAGCCAUGCCGCGUGUAUGAAGAAGGCCUUCGGGUUGUAAAGUACUUUCAGCGGGGAGGAAGGGAGUAAAGUUAAUACCUUUGCUCAUUGACGUUACCCGCAGAAGAAGCACCGGCUAACUCCGUG